AGUGAACGCUGGCGGUAGGCCUAACACAUGCAAGUCGAACGGCAGCACAGUAAGAGCUUGCUCUUACGGGUGGCGAGUGGCGGACGGGUGAGGAAUACAUCGGAAUCUACUUUUUCGUGGGGGAUAACGUAGGGAAACUUACGCUAAUACCGCAUACGACCUACGGGUGAAAGCAGGGGAUCUUCGGACCUUGCGCGAUUGAAUGAGCCGAUGUCGGAUUAGCUAGUUGGCGGGGUAAAGGCCCACCAAGGCGACGAUCCGUAGCUGGUCUGAGAGGAUGAUCAGCCACACUGGAACUGAGACACGGCCCAGACUCCUAAGGGAGGCAGCAGUGGGGAAUAUUGGACCAUGGGCGGAAGCCUGAUCCAGCCAUACCGCGUGGGUGAAGAAGGCCUUCGGGUUGUAAAGCCCUUUUGUUGGGAAAGAAAAGCAGCAGGUUAAUACCCCGCUGUUCUGACGGUACCCAAAGAAUAAGCACCGGCUAACUUCGUG
rnacentral:rRNA from 1 species